CAGUCGUGAGGAAGGUGGUGUAGUUAAUAGCUGCAUCAUUUGACGUUAGCGACAGAAGAAGCACCGGCUAACUCCGUGCCAGCAGCCGCGGUAAUACGGAGGUGCGAGCGUUAAUCGGAAUUACUGGGCGUAAAGCGCAUGCAGGUGGUUUGUUAAGUCAGAUGUGAAAGACCCGGGGCGUCAACCUACGGAAUUGCAUUUGUAAACUAGGCAGACUAGAGUACUGUACGGGGGGGGUAGGGAAUUUCAGGUGUAGCGGUGAAAAUGCGUAGAGAUCUGAAGGAAUACCGGUGGCGAAGGCGGCCCCCUGGACAGAUACUGACACUCAGAUGCGAAAGCGUGGGGAGCAAACAGGAUUAGAUACCCUGGUAG
rnacentral:rRNA from 1 species